CGGCUGUCUUCUGCAGCUUGCGGGGCC
rnacentral:piRNA from 1 species